GUGACGGGCGGUGUGUACGUAUUCUAGAGCUUAUUUCAUUUGUUUUUUCUUUAAAAAAUUACUAUUGAAUCCUUUUUCAUUUAUUUUUCAUUGAAAAAUCCUCGAUUAUAAAGUAAGGUAGCUCAUUGAUCCCCAGUUUAUUGGCUGCAUCUUGAUCUGGCGUUUGGAAAUUUUUCUUUUUGCUGACUUUCUUAUAAGGUUAGCUGGCGACGAAAAUAUACAGGCUGGAUUUUUCUAAAACUGGUGGGGUUCCUCGUGGGGUAUCGAUUGGAUAACAAGCUCCUCCAAAUAGUUUUAGAAAACCGCCAAGUUCUUUGAGUUUCAUAUUAGUGUUAUACUACUCUGGUGUUUUAGGUUGUUUGGUAAGUUAUAGUGGGGUAUCUAAUCCCAGA
rnacentral:rRNA from 1 species